rnacentral:lncRNA from 1 species
UAAAGAAGAAUUAGAACAACUCCCAGACGAAGUGUACAUACAGCAUAUCAACACGCCUGCUUACGAGAAGCCCGCUAUGGUAAUGGAAAUCAGGGAAGGAGAGAACUGGAUGACUCCUUACCUAGAAUAUCUAGAAAAGGGAAAGCUCCCAGAAGAUAAAGCCGAGGCAAGGAAAAUUGCAGCCCGAGCUGCCAAUUACCAAGCAGUAAGAGGAAUCCUAUACAGGAGAG